rnacentral:rRNA from 1 species
GAUGCACGCUAGCUACAGGCUUAACACAUGCAAGUCGAGGGACCGGCGCACGGGUGAGUAACACAUCUCCAACCUGCCCUGUACUGGGAGAUAGCCUUUCGCAAGAAAGAUUAAUACACGAUGGAAAGGAUGGCGAUGCGUUCCAUUAGGUGUUUGGUGAGGUAACGGCUCACCAAGCCGUCGAUGGAUAGGGGUUCUGAGCGUAAGGUACCCCACAUUUGAACUGAGACACGGUCCAAACUCCUACGGGAGGCAGCAGUGAGGAAUAUUGGUCAAUGGGCGUUAGCCUGAACUAGCCAAGUAGCGUGAAGGAUGAAGGCUUAUGGGUCGUAAACUUCUUUUAUAUAAGAAUAGGUAUUAUAUGAAUAAGGAUCGGCUAACUCCGUGCCAGCAGCCGCGGUAAUUC